rnacentral:rRNA from 1 species
AUUGAACGCUGGCGGCAGGCCUAACACAUGCAAGUCGAGCGGAGCGGCGGACGGGUGAGUAAUGCCAAGGAAUCUGCCUGGUAGUGGGGGAUAACGUCAGGAAACGGGAGCUAAUACCGCAUACUAUCAGAUGAGCCUAGGUCCGAUUAGCUAGUUGGUGGUGUAAAGGCCGACAAAGGCGACGAUCCGUAACGGGUCUGAGAGGAUGAUCAGGAACACUGGAACUGAGACACGGUCCAGACUCCUACGGGAGGCAGCAGUGGGGAAUAUUGGACAAUGGGCGAAAGCCUGAUCCAGCCAUGCCGCGUGUGUGAAGAAGGUCUUCGGAUUGUAAAGUACUUUAAGUUGGGAGGCGUUACCAACAGAAUAAGCACCGGCUAACUUCGUGCCAGCAGCCGCGGUAAUUC